GCUGGGACAGCUCACUUGGUAGAGCAUGAGACUCCUACCCUCAGGGUUGUGGGUUCAAGCCUCACAUUGGGCA